rnacentral:lncRNA from 10 species
GGAGGGGAGAUUUUCCCUGAAGAGGUCUGGCGUUCCUACAGAAUGCAGUGUCUGUGAUGAGAAAGGGACAGGAAUUUCUGCCCUGUUCCUUUGGACAUGGAAGGACCGAGGAGAGAGCUGAGUCCCUGAUCUCCAGCCUAUGAUCCCACUGAGGUGGGCCUUCCAGCCCGGACUCCUUGUUCUCUAUGGCUUGGGGAGUUGGGGCCCAGUCCGACUUGGCAAGCAUGGAAAGGCAGGGUGAAGGAAGCCAUGAUUCCUCCGAGAACACUGGGUCUGGUGGAGUCAGGGAGAGGAAUCAUUUCAAAGAAUUGAAAUACAUGAAAUGCUGCUGCAGGCCCCUGAUCUGCAGUCUGCCCACCCACUCAAAGACCAGGUGGAGCCCAUAGCCUGGGCCUCACAGGCCAGAGUCUGCAGGCCAGUGUCCAGCUCAGAGCCCUCAGUGCCAUCUUCAUACAGGAGCCAUCAGCUGGCAGUCCUCCCUGUCUCCCCCAGGGCUUCUGGCAGCCCUCAGACCACAGUGUCUGUGCAAGGUCUGGAAGGCUCAGUACGUCCAAUGCUCUAUGCUUUCUUGCUCCCUCUAUCUUUCUGCCAUGCUCCUACCCCACUCAAAACACUUACUUGGAUAUUAAUCCUUGGGAAGAGGGCAGAUGGCCCAGACUCCAAAAUGCUAAAUUUUCUUUAAGGUGUCUUUUAAAUACCUUCUUUCUGCAUGUUUCUGUCACAUCAUCCUAGACUGUCUGAAGGGUUAUUCUAGCCUCCCAUCUGCCUUCUUUAUUGUCCAUCUUUUUCUCUGCAGGCCAAGGCUCAGACACCUCUUUUGGAGUAUUACUGUCCUACUCAAAAACCUGGAGGAUAAGCUGAACUGGCCUUCAGGCCUCCAUGAGCUGGCCCCAGCCCCCCACCUAAGCCUGUGUUCCCCUUUCCAUUCCUCCACACAAAGUCAGACUCCUCCUGCACCAGCUCCUGCCCCAGCCAUCAUCUGCGUUUUCCCAUCAGUGCCCUCUCUCCCAGUUCCUCUUCCUGAAAUACCAUCUUCUAGCCUUUCCGCUUAAUCUUUGCCAAGUGGUCCUUCAAGGCCUCCCAGAAAGUGUUGAGGUAGAGAUAAUGCUUCUGCAACUGGGGUCGUGUUGCAGAAGGUCCUUGGGAUAUUGAGUGUCUAUUCUUAGAGUUUUGUGGAGAAAGGAAAUGUACAUAAUACAUUUCUCAGGUCUUGGAAAACUUGAUGUAAAGAGCUUGGGAUUUGGAAUCAGGGAUUCAAUCUCAUUAACUGAGUGACCUAGUAUUUACACAAAUUUCAAACAAACAAACAUCUGUGACAACAUCUUAUACAACUUGGUUGGGUAUAACUCUGCCAGGGGGCAGAAAUAACUUGAACCUCUCUUUUCUUCUUUCUUUCUUCCCCUUCCUUCCUUCCUUCCUCUCUCUCUGUCUCUUUCUUUCUUUCUUUCUUUCUUCCUUCCUUCCUUCCCUCACUCCCUCCUUCCCUCCCUC